UAACGCGUGAGUAACCUGCCUUACACAAGGGGAUAGCCUCUGGAAACGGAGAAUAAUACCCUAUGAAACCAGACAAUCGCAUGAUAAUCUGGUCAAAAUGCUUAGUGGUGUAAGAUGGACUUGCGUCUGAUUAGCUAGUUGGUGAGAUAAAAGCUCACCAAGGCAACGAUCAGUAGCCGGCUUGAGAGAGUGUACGGCCACAUUGGGACUGAGACACGGCCCAG
rnacentral:rRNA from 1 species